rnacentral:rRNA from 1 species
CUGGACCUUUGGGUUCAUAACUCCACCCAAAAUCUCGCAACAAUUUUCCCUGCCAUUUUCUCCCAUUCGCUCAGACCCUCGGCCACAGUUGCCCGGGUUCUAAGCAUUCCUACUUUUAAUCUAGAUUUGGCUCCGCGCCUUUCUCAUGACGCUGAGCUGGAACUAGAAAACCUACGCGCUAUGCUGGCAACUGUCUCCUUGAAUGUGCAGGUACAUGACAAACGAAUUGGACGUAUCGACGGCAAGCCGCUGACUUGCAACUCGGCUUACAAGGCUAUCUGGAGCGACAAGCCUAUCGACUACUUCGCUCCGUCCAUUUGGAAAAAUUAUGCACCCAACAAAUGCAGAAUUUUUCUAUGGCUCGCAAGUAAAAAUCGACUCUUCACCAACGAAAGACGCUUCAAC